CCUUUGUACUUUUUCGGAAGUGCAUUGCUGUGCGAACCGCGUUAAUCGAAACGGCUUGAACCGGGCAAAAGUCGUAACAAGGUUUCCGUAGGUGAACCUGCGGAAGGAUCAUUA
rnacentral:rRNA from 1 species